rnacentral:tRNA from 2 species
GGGGCUAUGGCGCAAUUGGUAGCGCACCUGCUUUGCAAGCAGGGGGUUACGGGUUCGAGUCCCGUUAGCUCCACUA